rnacentral:rRNA from 1 species
GAGUUUGAUCAUGGCUCAGGAUGAACGCUGGCGGCGUGCCUAAUACAUGCAAGUCGAACGAACAGAUAAGGAGCUUGCUCCUUUGACGUUAGCGGCGGACGGGUGAGUAACACGUGGGUAACCUACCUAUAAGACUGGGAAUAACUCCGGGAAACCGGGGCUAAUGCCGGAUAACAUGUUGAACCGCAUGGUUCUACAGUGAAAGACGGUCUUGCUGUCACUUAUAGAUGGACCCGCGCCGUAUUAGCUAGUUGGUGGGUAACGGCCUACCAAGGCGACGAUACGUAGCCGACCUGAGAGGGUGAUCGGCCACACUGGAACUGAGACACGGUCCAGACUCCUACGGGAGGCAGCAGUAGGGAAUCUUCCGCAAUGGGCGAAAGCCUGACGGAGCAACGCCGCGUGAGUGAUGAAGGUCUUCGGAUCGUAAAGCUCUGUUGUUAGGGAGACAAUGUGUAAGUAACUGUGCAUAUCUUGACGGUACCUAACCAGAAAGCCACGGCUAACUACGUGCCAGCCGCCGCGG